GGGCCCAUAGCUCAGUCUGGUUAGAGCACCUGACUCAUAAUCAGGGUGUCCAAGGUUCAAAUCCUUGUGGGCCCACCA
rnacentral:tRNA from 1 species